AAAUUGAAGAGUUUGAUCAUGGCUCAGAUUGAACGCUGGCGGCAGGCCUAACACAUGCAAGUCGAACGGUAACAGGAAGCAGCUUGCUGCUUUGCUGACGAGUGGCGGACGGGUGAGUAAUGUCUGGGAAACUGCCUGAUGGAGGGGGAUAACUACUGGAAACGGUGGCUAAUACCGCAUAACGUCGCAAGACCAAAGAGGGGGACCUUCGGGCCUCUUGCCAUCAGAUGUGCCCAGAUGGGAUUAGCUAGUUGGUGAGGUAACG
rnacentral:rRNA from 1 species